rnacentral:rRNA from 1 species
UACAGAGGUGGCAAGCGUUGUUCGGAAUUACUGGGCGUAAAGGGCGCGUAGGCGGCCAUCUAAGUCAGACGUGAAAUCCCCCGGCUUAACCUGGGAACUGCGUCUGAUACUGGAUGGCUUGAAUUCGGGAGAGGGAUGCAGAAUUCCAGGUGUAGCGGUGAAAUGCGUAGAUAUCUGGAGGAAUACCGGUGGCGAAGGCGGCAUCCUGGACCGACAUUGACGCUGAGGAGCGAAAGCUAGGGGAGCAAACGGG